rnacentral:ncRNA from 1 species
UAAUCAGUAUUGAUAAGGACAUGAAGCAGCUUUUACGGUUUUUAGAGAGGGAAGUUACGGCUGAAAGCUUCCUAACACGAAAAAUUGCUUUACCACCUUGGAACUUCAGCGGUGAAACUUUAAGUAAUCGCUGACGGCAGCAGUCCGUUAUCCUGUCCGAGUGCCGUAAUUUAUUAUUAUUUUGCGGAACAAGGGUGGAACCACGAGAUAAUCACUCGUCCCUUCU